CUUUAACCCCGAUAGAAAUGAAAAUCCAAUGCGCUAGCAUUGAUUGUAAUGGAUAGCGGGAAAAUGG
rnacentral:sRNA from 19 species